rnacentral:rRNA from 1 species
CCUACGGGAGGCAGCAGUGAGGAAUAUUGGUCAAUGGGCGCGAGCCUGAACCAGCCAAGUCGCGUGAAGGAAGACGGCCCUACGAGUUGUAAACUUCUUUUAUAAAGGAAUAAAGUGAGACACGUGUGCCUUUCGUAUGUACUUUAUCAAUAAGGAUCGGCUAACUCCGUGCCAGCAGCCGCGGUAAUACGGAGGAUCCGAGCGUUAUCCGGAUUUAUUGGGUUUAAAGGGAGCGUAGAUGGGUGGUUAAGUCAGUUGUGAAAGUCUGCGGCUCAACCGUAAAAUUGCACUUGAUACUGGUAGGCUUGAGUACAGUUGAGGUAGGCGGAAUGCAUGGUGUAGCGGUGAAAUGCUUAGAGAUCACGAAGAACUCCGAUUGCGAAGGCAGCUUACUAAGCUGCCACUGACAUUGAUGCACGAAAGUGUGGGUAGCAAACAGGAUUAGAUACCCCUGUAGUC